UACGUAGGGUGCGAGCGUUAAUCGGAAUUACUGGGCGUAAAGCGCGUGUAGGCGGGGGGACAAGUCUGAUGUGAAAGCCCCGGGCUCAACCUGGGAAGUGCAUUCGUGACUGCAAGGCUAGAGUGUGUCAGAGGGAGGUGGAAUUCCGCGUGUAGCAGUGAAAUGCGUAGAGAUGCGGAGGAACACCGAUGGCGAAGGCAGCCUCCUGGGAUAACACUGACGCUCAGGCACGAAAGCGUGGGGAGCAAACAGG
rnacentral:rRNA from 1 species